rnacentral:rRNA from 1 species
GACGAACGCUGGCGGCGUGCUUAACACAUGCAAGUCGAACGGAAAGGCCCUGCUUUUGUGGGGCGCUCGAGUGGCGAACGGGUGAGUAACACGUGAGUAACCUGUCCUUGUCUUUGGGAUAUCUUCAGGAAACUGGGGCUCAUACCGGAUAUAAGCUCCUGAUCCGUGGUGGGGGUUGGAAAGUUUCGGCGGUUGGGGAUGGACUGGAGGCUUAUCAGCUUGUUGGUGGGGUAGUGGCUUACGAAGGUUUUGACGGGUAGCCGGCGUGAGAGGGUGAACAGCCACAAGGGGACUAAGGGACGGCCCAGACUGCUACGGGAGGCAGCAGGGGGGAAUAUUGCACAAUGGGCGGAAGCGUGAUGCAGCAACGCCGCGUGCGGGAAGACGUCCUUCGGGGUGUAAACCGCUUUCGCCUGUGACGAAGCGUGAGUGACGGUAAUGGGUAAAGAAGCACCGGCUAACUACGUG